AUCUCUGUGGCGCGGUGGGUCAGUGUGUCUACCUGCUAACCAGAAGGUUGGUGAGUUUGAGCCUACCCAGGGAUG